UACGGAGGGUGCAAGCGUUAUCCGGAUUCACUGGGUUUAAAGGGUGCGUAGGUGGUCAGGUAAGUCCGUGGUGAAAUCUCUGAGCUUAACUCAGAAACUGCCGUGGAUACUAUUUGUCUUGAAUGUUGUGGAGGUGAGCGGAAUAUGUCAUGUAGCGGUGAAAUGCUUAGAUAUGACAUAGAACACCAAUUGCGAAGGCAGCUCACUACACAAUUAUUGACACUGAGGCACGAAAGCGUGGGGAUCAAACAGG
rnacentral:rRNA from 1 species